GGACCCGCACAAGCGGUGGAGCAUGUGGUUUAAUUCGACGCAACGCGAAGAACCUUACCAGGGCUUGACAUCCCUCGCAAUCUUUGGAAACAAGGAGUUCUAUAUUUCGGUAUAGACGAGGAGACAGGUGGUGCAUGGUUGUCGUCAGCUCGUGUCGUGAGAUGUUGGGUUAAGUCCCGCAACGAGCGCAACCCCUACGUUUAGUUGCCAGCACUAAGGGUGGGAACUCUAAACGAACUGCCGGUGACAAACCGGAGGAAGGUGGGGACGACGUCAAAUCAUCAUGCCCUUUAUGUUCUGGGCUACACACGUGCUACAAUGGCCGGUACAGAGGGAAGCGAAGGAGCGAUCCGGAGCGAAUCCCAAAAAGCCGGUCACAGUUCGGAUUGCAGGCUGCAACUCGCCUGCAUGAAGUCGGAAUCGCUAGUAAUCGCGAGUCAGCAUAUCGCGGUGAAUACGUUCCCGGGUCUU
rnacentral:rRNA from 1 species